rnacentral:lncRNA from 1 species
GGUAUGGUGGCACACACUUGUAAUCCCAGAGCUGGGCAGGCAGAUCCUUGUGUCUUUGCCCAAUCAGCAAGUCCUAAGUCCCAGUGAUAGAGAGAGACCCUGUCUCUAAAAUCAGGGAGGAUGGCUCCUGAGAAAUGGCUCUAGAGGUUGUCCCCUGCCCUCCACAUGCAUGUGUACCUGCACACACACACUAGGCACAAGCUCCCCCCCCCCCCCAGAAGAACAGGUUCUGAGUAACAUUACUGUCAGGCCACACCCAUGCUUUAGCUCAGCAUUAGCCCUGGAGCUCUUCACCCAAAGCUUACAGGAGAUACAUAGACAUUACAAAAGCCCUAAGCUCGCGGUUCCCAAACUUUCUGGGUUUGUGUUGCCUCAUUUAGGGGUUUAUUUAAAAAAAAACAAUCUUAGGCCAAGAUACCAGUUUCAUUUAUGAAGAGAUUAAAGCUUAACCAUUAUUUACAUCCUGAUAAACUUGUUAAGUGUUCCAAGAAAUCGCAAUGAAUAUGAUAUUUCAUGACGAAAGAGCUUACAAUUACUAAUAGGGUGUGUAAAUUUGUUGGAUACUGAAGGAAACUCCCAAACCACGAGGCACCAUUUCUCAUCCCCUGCGCCUCGCUGAGCUUUUCACAGGGCACUUUUAUUUAAAACACAGCCUCCUCACAUCCCCACCAACUGAAGAUACAGUGCAUUGGAAGGCACUCAGGAUCCAGCCUAGGUGCCUUGAGCUUCACGGCUAGUCAUCUGCACAGUGACCACUCAUGGCUGGGAACUGGUGAGCUUUCUUUGAAAGCUCAGAACGGGCUGCGAUGCCUCUAGAGCUCCAGGCUGCCUUGAUGCGGUAUGGGAAGUGUGACUUUAUGGGAUUGUUUUCCAGGUUCUUCCCAAGCAGCAAGUAGCAGAAAUCUUUGGAGGAGUGUCACUGGACGAAGAGACCACUGGAGGAACUAGCCAGUGGGCUGGAUGAUACUUCAAACCAGAUCACACUUAAGGGAGUUGAAAGACCGGAGUUGGUGAAAAUAUGCUGACUUGCUUUAAAAACUGAGAGUGUUUGUCUACAGCCAAAGACAGAGAGUGGAAUUCCUCCUCACCCACUUGACUCCCUUAUGAACUUCUGGGAUAUUAAAAGGCCAGUGAGCCAGUAUUCACGCCAUGGGUUUGAAAUGGAACAUCCAAUCGAUUCAAUGGGCCACGGACCAUGAACAACAAUUUAAAAAUGAAACCCUGGAACAGAAAGUAUGACGACACCUUGCACAUAGUGAGGCAGGCGUGGCUCUGGGAUACUUAGCUCAGUAUUUUGGAAUUAGGUGGCAGGGAAGGAGGUGUUCGUUAUUGGCAUCUGUGCUACUAAAUUUUGAAAAAGUGUUAUAUUAAGUCAGGGACUAGUUAAGCCUGUUUGUAAAGUCCAAUAGAAAACAUUCUAGACAUUCCAGGCCAUAAAACUACUCAAGUAAUUUUGCACUCAAGUGCAAAAACAAGUUCUUCAUGUUUAUCCAUAAGCAGGGCCGUGUUACAAUAAAACUUUAUC